rnacentral:sRNA from 1 species
CGUGUCUGUGGUGGGCGCUUGUUUGAAAAUGGCGCCUCGGAUAUAGUUGUAACUUUGACGUAGCAGGCGACAUACAUGUGCCUCAUGCCUUGGAAAUCUGAGGCUCUCAUCGUUGGCCGCAUAGACAA